rnacentral:lncRNA from 1 species
CCCUUCAGGUCAAGUCCGACCACCUCACCAGUCAUGAAAAUUAUUUUUGUUUUCGAGUUUUGUGAAUUUCAGGAUUGCAGAUCUAAAAUUGCGACAACAGCUACCUUUUGACGCAGGUUUUUGAGAAGUUACAAACUGGCAAAACCAGAUGGCAGGCUUCAAUUCAAACAGUCAAUAUGGAGAAAUAAAAGAAUUUCACCCAAAGAAGGCCAGAUUUCAGGUCCCCCAACACACACAAGGAAGCAAGGAGAGUCAAAGAAUUUUAAGUCACUCGUCCAACAUUCCACAGCUACAAGCCCAGGUCUGGGUUACUCCAGGGCCCAGCUUCCUAAGCUCUGGAGUAUUUUCUCUCCCAUCAACAUUCAGAACAGCCAAUUGGAAAAUGAGGUAAACCCACAGCCCCCACUGCCCACAGGAGGGAAAUGCAAAGAUGAAGGACAAAUAAGGGGGCAGAAAUGUGAGGCCUGGGAGGGAAAAAUUAAUGGGAUGCUGGUGUAUUAUUUCAGUGGCAGAAACAAGAAAGCGGAAAAUGGUUUGCAUAUCAUUUCACUGGGAGCAAAAGAACAGGAUCAAUUACAGCCUCCUUCCGACAUCUUGCAUUCCUCAAAACUUCUACGGAAAGUGAACGGGACGACGUUGUUUUAAUCUUCAUAUCGUGAAGAGGCAGAAGUGGUUAAGGGGUGGGUGCAGAUUCUGCCCCAGAGAGCUUAAAGAAAAUUUUAAAAUCCCAAAUGAUCUCUCAUCUUUCCCACUCAACUCUGGGCACGUAUUUCUAGCAAUUUGCACAUAUUGUUGCGGGGUUUGGUUUUUUUUUUGGGGGGGGGGUCCUCUUCCUUCCCAGUUUCACCCAGAGUGGACUGCAUGCGGACAGGGAACACGGGGCUGGGGAGAAGAAAAGAUGCUCCGUCUCUGGCAGAACUAGGCACUGCCACCUAUGUUUCCUUUUUAUUACGUUUGCGAUGCUCUGCACUCUUGCCACCAGUGGCAAGACUGAGUUUUGUU